GAUGAACGCUGGCGGCGUGCCUAAUACAUGCAAGUCGAGCGAACAGACGAGGAGCUUGCUCCUCUGACGUUAGCGGCGGACGGGUGAGUAACACGUGGAUAACCUACCUAUAAGACUGGGAUGACUUCGGGAAACCGGAGCUAAUACCGGAUAAUAUAUUGAACCGCAUGGUUCAAUAGUGAAAGACGGUUUUGCUGUCACUUAUAGAUGGAUCCGCGCCGCAUUAGCUAGUUGGUAAGGUAACGGCUUACCAAGGCAACGAUGCGUAGCCGAUCUGAGAGGGUGAUCGGCCACACUGGAACUGAGACACGGUCCAGACUCCUACGGGAGGCAGCAGUAGGGAAUCUUCCGCAAUGGGCGAAAGCUUGACGGAGCAACGCCGCGUGAGUGAUGAAGGUCUUCGGAUCGUAAAACUCUGUUAUUAGGGAAGAACAAAUGUGUAAGUAACUAUGCACGUCUUGACGGUACCUAAUCAGAAAGCCACGGCUAACUACGUG
rnacentral:rRNA from 1 species